rnacentral:rRNA from 1 species
CCUACGGGAGGCAGCAGUGGGGAAUAUUGCACAAUGGGGGAAACCCUGAUGCAGCCAUGCCGCGUGUGUGAAGAAGGCCUUCGGGUUGUAAAGCACUUUCAGCGAGGAGGAAAGGUUGGUAGCGAAUAACUGCCAGCUGUGACGUUACUCGCAGAAGAAGCACCGGCUAACUCCGUGCCAGCAGCCGCGGUAAU